GAUGAACGCUGACAGCAUGCUUAACACAUGCAAGUCGACUUGAAUUUGGGUUUUUAUCUUAGGUUUGGGUGGCGGACGGGUGAGUAACGCGUAAAGAACUUGCCUCACAGCUAGGGACAACAUUUGGAAACGAAUGCUAAUACCUAAUAUUAUGAUAAUAGGGCAUCCUAUAAUUAUGAAAGCUAUAAGCGCUGUGAGAGGGCUUUGCGUCCCAUUAGCUAGUUGGAGAGGUAACGGCUCACCAAGGCGAUGAUGGGUAGCCGGCCUGGGAGGGUGAUCGGCCACAAGGGGACUGGGACACGGCCCUUACUCCUACGGGAGGCAGCAGUGGGGAAUAGUGGACGAUGGACCGAGAGUCUGAUCCAGCAAUUCUGUGUGCACGAUGAAGUUUUUCGGAAUGUAAAGUGCUUUCAGUUGGGAAGAAACAAAUGACGGUACCAACAGAAGAAGUGACGGCUAAAUACGUG
rnacentral:rRNA from 1 species